rnacentral:rRNA from 1 species
AUUGAACGCUGGCGGUAGGCCUAACACAUGCAAGUCGAGCGGCUGCACAGUAAUUGCUUGCGCUUACGGCUGCCGACGGGCGGACAGGUGCGGAAUACAUCGGUAUCAACUUUGUCUAAGGGGCGGACAUGGGCGAUCAUACCGUAAUCCUGCUUACGACGUACGGGUGAAAGCUUCGGACCUUCGGAUAUCACGCGAUCCUAUGACGCCAUGUCGGAUUAGCUAGUUGGCGGGGUAAAGGCGCACCAAGGCGACGAUCCGUAACUGGUCUGAGAGGAUGAUCAGUCACACUGGGACUGAGACACGGUCCAGACUCCUACGGGAGGCAGCAGUGGGGAAUAUUGGACAAUAGGCGGAAGCCUGAUCCAGCCAUGCCGCGUGGGUGAAGAAGGGCUUCGGAUUGUAAAGCACUUUUAGUUGGGAAGAAAAGCAGUAAGUUAAUACCUUGCUGUUUUGACGUGACCAAAAGAAUAAGCACCGGCUAACUUCGUG